rnacentral:tRNA from 1 species
UCCCUGGUGGUCCAGCGGCUAAGGCUAUAUGCUCCCAGUGCAUGGGGCCCAGGUUCAAUCCCUGGUCAGGGAA